GUUCGGACACUACAGAAAGAAGUUGGCAGAUCGGCGGUACUGGUUUCAGACGAGUCCUUUGAUGCUUGUAGGGGUCGUAGAGCAACACGGAGAACAUCAUCGUACUCACACUUACUUGGCAUAGGCAGGUUGUACUAGGCUCUGACCAUCCUCCCCAUCCUCCAUCAAACUGUGCAAGUCGGAUUGCUAUACCAUAUGAUGAGGUUAGCGGAUACGUAAAAUACCUAUCCAGGCGUUGUUAGAUCUGGCAGGCAUCAGCAACACCUGGGCAGAGGAACGUGACCAGAACCUGGACAAACCUUGGAUCAACAAUCUAUGGGGAGAAAGCCUAAUAAAUAACCUUCAGCAAAAAUACAUAAAACAGCCACAAAACCUCAAUAUACGAUGUUCUCAUUAUCACUUAGCAGACAUUAACGACGAUGAACAUCAUUUUAAGGCAGACUUAUAUACCUUUGAAUUCUCAUCACAGCAAAAAAAAUCCAGUAAUGACAUGUAUGGUGCUAUUUCCAAACCAAAACAGAAGAGUGGUGCGCUCGCACCUGUGCCCACCAAUACUGGCACGCAUUCGCGCAAGCUCUAGGACGCACAGUGGAGCACGUGACAAGCCGGUGCGGUGAGGAGCGGGAACACAAAACAAUCAGCGAUAUGAAAAUGAAAUUAGAUGAAAUUAAAGAAAACAUCUACCACGGAUCAUUGGAAGAGGCCCAGUUAAAGGGACAGAGAAAGCUUGCGCUCUGUGUCUCCUUAUUUAACAAAAGGUCAACGAGUGCAGUCAGAGUUAAAUCAGAAGACAAAAAGAACAAGAGAAAAAAAAACACAGCGAGAGAAAGAAGGAAAGAAGUCUGCUUUUAAUUUACUGAGAGCUGCUUGGCUGGUCCUCCCUCGCUGGGUCCUAGCUCCCAUCAGCGUACUAGUGGGCUGUGCCAAGCGACACAAAUUAAAUUAAUAAAUAAAGGCAGUUCCUCUGGCACACUGGCAUGGUUCUGGAACACUAGCGAUUUGGUUGUGUUUUUCUUCACAAUGUCUCUUAUGUUCGUUAGAAGUACAAAGUGAAUAGUCGUGCUUCUGCCUUCUGUUUUGAAGUUGUUUUGAAGUUGUCUUCGGUAGUGUAUGUGUUUGUGACAUGUGUCUGU